CGUAGGAUUAGCUUGUUGGCGGGGUAACGGCCCACCSAAGUCUGCGAUCAGUAACUGGUGUGAGAGCACGGCCAGUCACACGGGCACUGAGACACGGGCCCGACUCCUACGGGAGGCAGCAGUGRGGAAUAUUGGUCAAUGGACGCAAGUGUGAACCAGCCAUGCCGCGUGGAGGAUUAAGGCCCUCUGGGUUGUAAACUCCUUUUAUCUGGGAAGAAAUGCAUUUUUUCUAAAGUGCUUGACG
rnacentral:rRNA from 1 species